UCCCGGUUAACCCGGGCAGUCUCAUUAGAGUUCCCAUCCGAAAUGCUGGCAACUAAUGAUAAGGGUUGCGCUCGUUGCGGGACUUAACCCAACACCUCACGGCACGAGCUGACGACAGCCAUGCAGCACCUGUGUAGCAGUUCCGAAGAAAAGCUUCAUUUCUGAAGCGGUCUACUACAUGUCAAAUCUAGGUAAGGUUCUUCGCGUUGCAUCGAAUUAAACCACAUGCUCCACUGCUUGUGCGGGUCCCCGUCAAUUCUUUUGAGUUUCACCCUUGCGAGCGUACUCCCCAGGCGGUAUACUUAACACGUUAGCUUCGGCACAGUCGGGGUUGAGUCCAACUACACCAAGUAUACAUCGUUUACGGCAAGGACUAC
rnacentral:misc_RNA from 1 species